UACGGAGGAUCCAAGCGUUAUCCGGAUUUAUUGGGUUUAAAGGAGUGCGUAGGUGGCUUAUUAAGUCAGGGGUGAAAGACGGUAGCUUAACUGAUCGCAGCUGCCUUUGAUACUGAUGAGCUUGAAUGAACUAGAGGUAGGCGGAAUGUGACAAGUAGCGGUGAAAUGCAUAGAUAUGUCACAGAACACCAAUUGCGAAGGCAGCUUACUAUGGUUAUAUUGACACUGAGGCACGAAAGCGUGGGGAUCAAACAGG
rnacentral:rRNA from 1 species